rnacentral:rRNA from 1 species
GACAGAGGGUGCGAACGUUGUUCGGAAUUACUGGGCGUAAAGCGCAUGUAGGCGGCCCUUCAGGUCGGAUGUGAAAUCCCUCGGCUCAACCGAGGACGUGCAUUCGAAACCGGAGGGCUCGAGUUCCGGAGAGGGUGAUGGAAUUCUAGGCGUAGAGGUGAAAUUCGUAGAUUUCUGGAGGAACACCGGCGGCGAAAGCGGUCACCUGGACGAGAACUGACGCUGAGAUGCGAAAGCGUGGGGAGCAAACAGG